CAGCAGCCGCGGGAAUACGGAGGGAGCUAGCGUUGUUCGGAAUCACUGGGCGUAAAGCGCACGUAGGCGGCUAUUCAAGUCAGGGGUGAAAGCCCGGGGCUCAACCCCGGAACUGCCUUUGAAACUAGAUAGCUUGAAUCUUGGAGAGGCGAGUGGAAUUCCGAGUGUAGAGGUGAAAUUCGUAGAUAUUCGGAAGAACACCAGUGGCGAAGGCGGCUCACUGGCUCAUUCUAGACGCUGAGGUGCGAAAGCGUGGGGAGCAAACAGGAUUAGAUACCCCUGUAGUCCCUGUCUCUUAUAC
rnacentral:rRNA from 1 species